rnacentral:rRNA from 1 species
CCCACGGUUAUACAAAAAAUUUAAGUGAAUUUUAUUAGAUUUAGUUAAAUUAUAAAAUUUUAUAAUAAAAUUAAUUUUAUUAAGUGAAAUUUUAAUAUUAAUUAAUAUUAUAUAUGAAUUUGAUUGAAGCUAGAAAAUUUUAAAUUUAAACUAGGAUUAGAUACCCUAUUAUUUAAAAUGUAAUUAAAAAAAAUCUUGAGUAGUAAUAGUUAUGGUCUUGAAACUUAAAAAAUUUGGCGGUAUUUUAAUCUAUUUAGAGGAACCUGUUCUAUAAUCGAUAUUCCACGUUGAACCUUACUUAAAUUUGUUUAAUUUACAAUAUGUAUAUCGCUGUUAUAGAUUAUUUUAUUAGAAUAAUAAUUUUCUUAAUUUUUUAUUAAAAAUUAUAUCAGGUCAAGGUGUAGUUUAUGUUUAAGAAAGAAAUGGGUUACAAUGAUAAUAAUAAUGGAAAUAAGAAUGAAAUUUUUUAUAGAAAUUGGAUUUAAUAGUAAAAUUAUAUAGAUUAUUAAUUUGAUUUUAGUUCUAAAAUAUGUACAUAUCGCCCGUCGCUCUUAUUUUUAUAUUAAUAUAGUAAAAUAAGAUAAGUCGUAACAUAGUAGAAGUACUGGAAAGUGUUUCUAGAAUGU